rnacentral:misc_RNA from 1 species
ACUGGGCCUUACCAAAUCUCUGGUAAUCCUCUUUUGUUGCCCCUGAAACUUGCCACUCUGCCACCCACUCUCCAACGAAGGUGAGAGGGCCAUUUGAUGUGGUGACAUAGUUCAGCUGAGCCGACCGAUUAGUGUGGAUGAAAUCAAUGUUCUGCUGGACGGUCAUGUUGUUAAAUAUAUCAGAGAAGAGAUUGUAGUAAUGGACAUCAAUUACAGUUCCAUUUAAGCCACUAGCGAGAGGGAAUAGCUCUCUUGGUUCAGCUGGUCCUAGCCUAUUUGACAUGACCACAUAAGCGCUUGAGGAGUGCUUGCGAACUGCAUUGUAACCAGCCUUGUAAUACUUGGUCACGCUAUCUAGAGUUGCUCCUGGUGCGAGAGGCUCGUUUAUGAGCUCUACUGCGUACAGGCUUGGGCUCUUGGCAUAUCUCGCAGUGAGAAAGUCUAUAACAUCAACUGUUUGUUGUAUA